UGCCUUAAAUUGUUGAGCGUGAAGUAUAUUUUCAGUGUCACUUCUAUGUAGGACCGCAGAUAUAAUCGAAAAUUAAUAAAAAAAAUGUUUUGAGAUCAGUAAUAGAUCUUGGUUUGGAAUCUCGACCCUAGAAGAUAGAUUUUCGUUAUCUAAUGAUUUUAAGAUGGCGAGACCUGAAAUUCACGGUCUCGUGGUGGCGGUAAACGCCGAGCAAAAACCCACGUUGCACAGCAUCCUGAGCAUCCCCUCGACCAUGACGUCUACGUCUCGCGGGGGAGAUUACUACAGUAUUGUCAUGGUCGAUGUAUCAGGGUCCAUGAGUAACGUAUGGCCGGAGGUCAAAGAAAACUGGAACAGAAUAUUGGCUCCCUGCCUCAAUGGCACCACGGACAUUUUUACAUUUGGUACUGAAGUUCGCUUCCGAAGGAGUCAGCCCACCUUAGAGAACAGUGACUUUGACUGCUCUGCUACUAAUUUGACCGACGCACUGAAAAUGAUUAACCUGAAAAUUCACCAAAGCAAAGAGGCUAACUGUCGAGUUUUCCUGAUAACCGAUGGAGCCCACAAUUGCGAAGGGUCGCCGGCCAGUGAAAUAGACAAUUUGCGUGUACCUCCUGGUAAAACAGUUGAAGUAUAUUUGUUGGGGGUAGGUUAUUCCUUCCCAGUGCAGUACAGUGUUGACAUCCGGUCUAAACUACACAACGGGUCUGCUAGCUGUCCAACCCUAUUUUGGAGCCGCGAAAACCUGGAAAUGGCCAAAAAAAUGACAGAAAUUUCACAAGAAGUAACAAAAGGGUCGCUUAAAUUUAAGGUUUCUAUCCCGGGCAAAAUUAUACCGUUGAUUGAGGAAACAAAAGGCGAUGUCCGAUGUGGCGAGUUUCUUUACUAUGAAAUGGAGCCAGAGCAACUCAAGUCCAGCUUAAUAAUUACUGAACUCGAGUCCAAGAUUCCCAUAGAAGAUGUUGUGAAUCUUGCCGAUGCCAAGUUUCUGGUGAGCAAACUGUUCAAACAGUGGAAUGCUGUCAUCUUACAACGCCACAGAAACAAACUUGGCGUUCCUAAUGGCUUUUUUGAGAUGAUGCAGAGCAUCUUCGACCUCCAAAUACGAGAGAUUGACCCUCCUGCAAACUCGCAGCUAAAAGACCGUCUAGGCCGCAAGAAUAUAAAGCAAAUACAACUCGACUUCUCGACUCUGAUGAACCAAAGUCGGAGUAUUAUUUCCGUGGAAUCUAAGUAUAAGAAUGAGCUUGAGUUGGCUGAAGCCAUCCUCAAGUCGACUGUGCAGAGCCGUUACGAUGACAGGCUCCUCAAGAUCAAGGGUCACGGAGACUCGGAGUGGGAAAGUGAUACUCUCGAAAUGAAGAAAGUAUACGAGUCUCUAAGAAAGGAGAUCGAAGCUCUGCCUCAACCUGAACCUGAUGAUUGCUGCAGAGUAUUGAUGAAUUCCUUCAUUGGAGAUCUCAAAGAUCCCAAUUUCUUCGAUGUUUUAAAGGAAAACAAAAUGGAAUUCUUGACUACAAUGACGUUCACCGGAAUUCCAAUUUUGGCGCCAGUGAAGGACUCAGCCCAGAUCAAUCCAUGGACGAUGUAUAUAAAGAAUAUUUGCGUAAGCCCGUUUGAGAUAUUGUCUCAGCGGGUCAUUGAAUCUGCCUUGGCUGUCGAAGCUGCCAGCUCAAGUGACAAGGAAAUCCGGUUACAGAAAGACAACCCUAAUUCGGUGUGCAAUGCAAUCGUUCCUAUAAUACCCAAGGAACACUGCAAGACGCUGGAAAGGCUCGUCAGAACUAACGUUUUCUCCAUAGGAGCCACGUUCUGCAUCCUGAAAAACGCCCUCAUCGUCGAUCAUUCUUGUCAUUUGGCCGCUCUUGGUUGUGUGUGGUUGAAGACGAUACAAGAUUACCCAGCUGAAAAUCGCCCAGAGUUCAUCAAAAAAAGACUCUGCGAUGUCGAAGAAACGUCGAAAAUCUACUUGUCGCGUAAUACAAUCGUCAACUAUGUCUCCGCUUUGCAGAAGCAGCCUGCGUUAGCCCUCAUGACCGAGUCGGAAGCAUACCAAGGCAGCGUUCUCAGGUGCGAGUCGAUCGUGAAGCCAGCGUUCCUGACGGGCUUAGUGAAGGACCAGUUACGAGCUUCUGAAAAUACUAGUCUUCUGCUGAAGCUUAUCCUCGUCGAGUUUCUAGGCCGUUGUCUGACAUCUUACUCGUCCAAGUGCCCCUACAUGGACCUGACUACGUCGCUCACUGAUGAAACGCGAGAGACCAAGGUUGACGAGAUUUCCACCAUCCUUCUGGAGAAAGUUCAACUGAGUGGAGCUGAGCUGCUGGCGAAGUGCUAUGCGCGUCAGGACGUCGAGAAAUUCGCGCAGGAGAAGUUGGCUAACGCCCUUAAGGACGCCAUCGAGAACAACUCUUUGCUGCCUCAAGACCUCGAGCUCAACAUGAAUAAGAUUGAGCGACUUCGCCACAGUGGCAGCGCUGGCCACGUGGGCUGGCAAGGUCUCGUGGCGUGGGCCAACGAGCUGGCCUACGACCACAGCCCCGUGCCCCACGGUCCCCCUCCCCACGGACCCUCGCCUCUUUUCUCACGAGCACAAGUCGACGAAGCGUUCUCCGCUCCAAUGGUGUGCUCGUACGUGCACCACGCGCUCGAGUACCGGCAGUCGCGGGAGCGCAUGAAGAAGGAGCUCCUCGGCCCAGCGGAGGCACGUGACGCCAUCUUCACGAAACUCGCAAACGAACAAGACUAUUACCUCAAAAACGUACUCUUGCCUAAGUUACUGAAGAGCACAGUGCAGCGCUGGGAGGCUGAGUACGAUGAGGUGCACAAAGCUGUCGCCGUGCCCCUCAGUCGGCUGGAAAUUAUCCAGCGAGCUGUCGCUCUCGGUGUCAACGUCAACGAGCAGAAUUUCGACCAAAUCUACAAGUACCGAGAGAACGUGCGUAUGUGUCGCAACUGCUGCCAUGUGGAGAAAUGCCCUCACUUCCUGAAGCCGAACGCUCGCUUCAACUGCCACAUCGAGACCGAAAGGAAGCAAGCGGACUAUCCUCACACUCUCCACCUGUUGGUAUCGAGCGACUCUGCAGGAAAUCAAGACCAGCUGGUCGAGAAGAUCGCUAAUAGAUCAGCAGCGGGCACAAGGGCUCGUAAAAAACCACCACCGAUACCUUCAGACGACCUGAGUCUCCUAAAGUUACAAGUGGAGCAUCUGGCUCAGGCGUACAUCCGGUCGGCCGUGGUCGUCUGAACACGAUCAUGAUCCUGUGAGAGAGGCUUAAACAGAGUGGUUCCCAUCCGAGCACUUUUGUCUUUCAACCCUUGGCUUGGGAUGGAGUUGCAUGUCUAGACUAUCUUGAUACCUGGUAGUGGCUUGUUGAAUUUUCCAAGUACUGAGUUAACCUAACCUUGUACUAAUGAGAAUUAUGGAAGUUUUUAAUGGAAGUCCAAUUAUGUGCUUUUGUGCAUCAAUAUACGUUCCAUAUAUUCGUAGUUGAAAAUCUGUAUUGUUUAAAUUAGCAAUAUCUUUAAUUCUUCAUAGGCUUAUUUGUUCGAUUUCCUUAUUUUGUUGGGAUGUUUCAAGGCUUCGAAUAUUGGUUUGAUGGCAUAUUGUGAUGGAAAAAAUUUUGGCUGUGUUUAAUAAGUAUAUCUCUCCGUAGCUGAGAUAAAAAAAAUUUCCUCAUAUUUGAACCCAAGCCUGACACAUGCAAUUUAUUCAAGCAUCACAAGUGCAUAUCCUGUUUUUCAAGUACCACCCGCUUAGUGUGACGUUUGGCCUGCCUCUCGUGAUUAUUUUAGUUAAUAUCAUGCAUCCUAUGUUCGUGAAGAAUCUUCCCAUCUGUGUGGUUUUCAGCCCGCCUCCUUUGAUUAAUAUGGUUGAUGUGACACAUCCUGUGUUUGUCAAGAAUCGGCCCAGCUUGUGUGGUUUUCAGCCAAACGCCCUUGAUUAAUAUGGUUGAUAUGACAUCAGACACACCCUGUGUUUGUCAAGAACCGGCCCUGCUUGUGUGGCUCUCAGCCCCGACAGGCUGCAGCGAUGGAUGUGCACCUCCUCUUGCUGGAACAAUUCUCUCCGUUGGCCGCGCAUCAACGCUGGUCUUGUUUGCAACGCUCCAGAUGCAAGUUAUUCACAAGAAAAACUUAAGAAAAUAACGCAGUGUUGCAGGCUGCGGAGUUUUUCGAAUCCAUUUCGCAUUUUAGCAUGGCCUAAACUGCCAUUAGACGGCCUUUUAUCCACUCUGGUCUUAUUGCCAAAAACAAUCAACUUUCCACUACUGCGCUUUCCGGAUGCAAUGGUGCAGCGCCGGCAAUUUUAGGCCUCAAGUGUUUCCCAUGAGUUAUUGCCGUGUUCGUAUGUUAUAUUAAGUUGAGUUGUUUGCUGGUGUGUGUGUUGUUGUUUUGGUGUUUUGUUUCGUGUUGAUCUUGACGUUAGUGUUCAUGUCGGAAAUUAGGCUUAGAAGUUAUUUUGUAGAAUUGCUUGUUAUAGAACUCGUGCAGGACCAGUUAUUUUUUCCGCUAUAACUCAUUGCUACCUAAUUCUACACACUUGAAUGUUUAUUUCCAUUUUUUUCCGUUUUCCUCUUUCUUGAAUUCCUUAAUAGAAGAUGUUUUUGAUGUGUAUAUAUGUCAUCAACCUGCAAAUGCUUGUCAAAAGCUGACUAGUGGUGUAGACUACACGAGACCUGAUCAUAAUGUAAAGUCAUAUUUACAUGCGCAUAACUCAUCUUUGUUUUGUGAUUUUGAGUGAGAUGAUUAAACUACACGAUCCUUCUUUAACCUUACAGAAAUGGAUUAGAUUUAAUACAUUACUUCUCUUUAUUUUAGUUAUUAUUUCGCUUCCAUCUAGAAACUAUGUUUCCAUUCUUGCCCCUAAAGAUUUUUAUUUUGAGACAGAGGUUACAUUGAACUUGGAAUUGAAGAUAUUUGCUCUCGUCAUUUCAUCGUCUCUUAUGGCAAAACUAACUUCAAAUGAAUCCAUCCGCCUUAAUGCGCUGACUACGGUAACGGGAACCUCUGAACUUCCAGUGCUAACUGGGACAAUUCCAAACGAACUCUACUAUGUCUCUUUCAAUGCCCAAUAUAUAUAAUACCAAUUAAACAGCCUGUCUAAAUGAUUGAGUCACUGUAUCAAUCUUCAUCUUUCAUUUAGAUAUCUCAUCUCACGAAGUCACGCUGCUAUUGAAUAGUCGCUGCGAAGUCACGCUGCAUCGUGAGUAUAAUGAAUAAUCUCGCGAUUCACAUAAAACUUACUAAAUUUUCGUCUUAUAUCAACAAGUCUAUAGCCUGGUUUCCUAUAUACCUUGAAUCUAAGAACUCUUCAUUUGCGUUUUGCUUUUAUGAUUUUGAUAGAUAUAAUUAAUCUAGACUAGACUUGAUUCAUAUUUUAAACUUAAGGGAAGCUAGAGUAAACUUGGAUAUCUAACUUUCAACCAUUGAAUUCCAAUGGGCCUGUAUGGAAAAAUAGGCAAAUCUUAUUACGUUUUAGCUUAUCUUGAAUAAAUGUUAGAUAGAAGCAAUGGCUUGAUCUAAUUUUAAGUAUGCUUAGUUAUUUCCUCAACAAGUUCUAUAAGGAAAGUAUAGGAAAAAAAUUCGACUUGGCAUUAAACAAAUAACGUGCAUGUUGAGCGGACUUGCAUGAGCAGGACAAAGUUUUUGGCAACAUAAUGGCUGACCUCCGUUAUUCAAUGGAAGCAAAAUCUAAAACUUUGAUCUUCACUACUUUGGAAUAAUAGUUAAGUGAUGUCGACCGUUUUAAUGAGUAUUUUUGACGUUCUCAGUAGCAUUUUUUUGUAAUGGGUAAAGUGCGUCUGAAGUUUUCUAAUUUAAACAAUAUAUUGAAGUACUGCCGUGCUGCUAAUGUAUAGAAAAAAUACUAAUACUAAAAUUAUUCACAAUUCAAAAUAAUAGUGAUAAAAAUGUAAGGCUAAUAAUAACAAAUGAUUAUUAACAAUAACAUCUUAGAUAAUGAAAUGGGAACGAUGUUCAGUAACCAUAGACUGGAAAAGAGUGAUUUAUAGCUUUUUGUAUAGUGUCAAUAAAAAUAAGUGAAAGCGUUA